GACGUAGGGUGCAAGCGUUGUCCGGAUUUACUGGGCGUAAAGAGCGCGUAGGCGGCUCGUUAAGUGAGAAGUGAAAGCUCUUGGCUCAACAAAGAAACCGCUUUUCAUACUGGCGAGCUAGAGUGAUGCAGAGGUGGAUAGAAUUCCCGGUGUAGCGGUGAAAUGCGUUGAUAUCGGGAGGAAUACCCGUGGCGAAGGCGGUCCACUGGGCAUCAACUGACGCUGAGGCGCGAAAGCGUGGGUAGCAAACAGG
rnacentral:rRNA from 1 species